CAGGUGUCACCUCUUCGUCCAGGAUCUCAGACAGUCUUCGUACAAUGAAGAAGUUCUUUGAGACCAGGACAGAGGCCUCCAGGGCCGCUGAUCUGCUGAUCUCAAUCAAACCGUGAAACGUUUGGAAGUUGGAUAAUGCUCCGCAGCGGAUGAAGCUCAGAGACGAUCACAGACACACACGGGUGGUGCAGAGGUCUUGAUGGAUCCCCAUGAGUCAGUCGAGAAUGAGAAGAUGAUUGAGAAGAUUGAUACCACUCUCAGAGGAAAUUGAGAAGACUGUGUCGAUAAAAGCUCAGCUUUGGGAAGAGGUUGAAGUCCAGAGACGAUCAACAAAGACACAGAGAUGGUGCAGAGUCCUUCAGCCAAGAAUCCAGCUGCUAAGGUAAAUGAAUUGUAGUAGUACUGUAAUAGUAAAAUCUUAGUUGCUCAUAACUCUCUCUCUCUUUAACUUCAAAAUUCAUUAUAUCAGGUAAACAUUGAGCUUGCGACCCCAUUUACCAAUUAGGUGUCUUUACUGUCUGCACUAUUUGAUCUGAUGCUGAUCAUUUAUUUCCUGGAGCCUUUGGAUAUUUGUAUUGGGUCUUAAACUUCAAAAUUCAAGUGCGAUCCUUACCUGGAGUUAUAACCUCAAAAUUUAGUGCCGGAGGCAAGAUUUUUAGGCUUUGAGAGUUUGUACUUGGUGUUUGAAUUUGUAAUCAUUGGUCUAUCAAGCCACUGCCUAUCAAUUUGAGCUAAUCAACUAUCUAUGGCGGCGCUUUUUUAGCCUUAGAGUCUUUGCAUUUGGUGUUGGACUCCAUAAUUUACUUAAUUGUUUAAGUACCAGGCUUCUACUAAGCCAAGGUCUACCAGCGUUAAGCUAAUAAUAAUAAUGAUAGAAGAGGAAACAAGUGGUAUAGGAGCUCUAGUCAUUUUAUUUUUCCAACAAACCUUGCAUGAAUUCUCUCACUUGACCUUUGUAAGCGCUGACUGAGCAAAAAGCAUGUUAAGAAGAACAAUUUAGACAUCAUCAGCUCUGUCACUAAAGCCCAGGAGUUUAAUGAAAAAAAAAAAAAACACACACAUUCAUAUCUUAACACCAGUUAGGCUGAGUCAAAUCAAAUACACAGAUAGGGGCAAAGGUCAAACACUUAACAUAUCUCCACUAAUGUCUCACACACAUUAAAAAGGACCAGUGAACCUGUAAACACACUAACAGAUGAACACACACAUAGUUUUACAGGUGACAUUACCCUCAUGCAAUGACAUUCAUGACAAGAUCUCUGCAAGAGAAUUAGGCAUUUAUGUGCAUUCAUGUGCUGUCGGAAUUAUAUACUGUACAGGCAUCAUUUCAGUUCCAUGUAGAGACUACACAGACAGUGGCAACCAUCUAAGUAAAGGGUUGUAUUAUAGCUUUGCCUAAAAGUGACAUAUGGAGCUCUGACCUACUCAACUGCCUAAUGUGAGAAUUUAAAAACAGCAUUAUACUCUAAGUAAGUUCAUUUAAUCACAAACAAACUUCAACUUCAUAUUGCUUAAUAAAAAUAAAAAAUAAAAGUGCAAACCAGUACUUUUAGUUUGGCUGUUGGUGUGGAUCUAAUCAUGUCAGCUAAUAAAAUACAUCUAGAAAGUUAACUCUUUAAAUCAUUCUUUACAUAACGUUCCAGUGGUGACAGCACAAAUAUGUUUAGCAAAACUGGUGUAAGUUUUAUUAAUAUACUAGUAUAUUGUCAAUACAAUUAAACAAUAAUUAGAUUAAUCCUACUGCAAAGCAAGCUAUGCAAUCCCUGAAUUUGUUAUUUCAAUAUCUUUUUAAUGUAUUUCUUUCUUCAGCAAGUGGUUGGACUAGCAAUCAACUAAACAUCUAGAAAACAUGUCAUUUUUAAGCCUAGCUCUAAUAGAUACCUAGAUGGCAACAUGGUAGCAACAGCCUGCACCCUAUUUUGUUCCUUGGUCCAGAAAAUAGUAGAGGGCAUAACUGCUGACUGCUAAUAAAAUAAAACAAAAGUAAAGUAAACAACAAUGAAGUAUCAGUUUGCACCUGCUAAUCUAAACCAAAUGAUAAAUAUAGGCCAGUAUGUUUCAACAGCUCCAUGUUUGGUUACAUUUCUGUUCAAAAUCCUCAUGAAUGUGCACAACACAGAUAUUACCACUGUUUAUGUACAUCAAAGCAGUAGUAGGUUAAAGGUGAAGUAAGGAAAUAAAGUGAAGGAUAGGGAUAGAAACAAAACAGCAUUAGCACAUGUGGUAGUUAAAAUUUAAGGUCAGUAAUGACACCUGUGUUCUUCAGGUGGCCACUUAAAAACAAACAAAAAAAAAAAACAAACACAUUUUCCUUUACUCCCUAGAUUUUUUUAAACCAUCAUGUGUCAUAGUAUAUUGGACCUACUAUGACUGAAUGAUUUGUUUUAACUGAAAGCCAAAAUGUGCUGCAAGCUAACAAGCUAGCUCAAACUGGUUUCAGCAGAAAUGCUAUCAGUGCAAAACAAGGUUUGUUUCUGGUACCUUAACAACCAAUGUAAAAACCUUUUCAGAACAGUAUUCAGACUUUUAUUUCAAUUCAUUAGACACCUGUCACAUUGUAGGAAAGACAUCCUCUGCCAUAAGAUUUCAGAUUGGCAAAAUAAAUAAAACUAAAAAAUAGUUGGUGUGUCACCCCCAUUUGAAAUGGCAAGCUAACUAUCUAGAUAAAUAGCUUCCUAUCCUUUGGCUUCAGGAAAGUUUUGUGUCACAAGACUUAAAUCCACAUACAUUUCUCAUUUGUCAAGGAAAUUCUGAAAAUUCUGAAUGUAUGACUGACUUAAGUCAUACUGAAAUUAAAGGUUAUUUUAACUAAGAAAUUUUCUUUGUGAAAAUCCUUUGUGUUUGUUUUGAUGCGUGUACUUGCUCAGUCAAAAUUGUAAUGGAUUCCCUGCUGGUGUGAGUUUUGACAAUCUGGUCAAUCGUCAUCACCACAACUGAAACCAUGAAGUAGAGACACCUAAUGCUAACUAAACUCCUGGGUCCUGCCAGAUGGUUAAUGUCGUAAAGGGAGAGAGAGUUUAAACAGCUAAUGAUUGACAGCUACAGUUUGACUUUACAGCUGAUAUAUUAGUCAUCUUCACAAAAACAGUACAAAGCGAGUUUUGACGUCUCAGUGAGAUGAAAGAUGAGAGAGAAUUUUUUUUCCCGCUAUGUGACAAAUACCUGGAGAACUGCAACAGCACAGCUACAAAUACAAGAAGAGGAAACCACUACAUUGACAGGAUAUGAGGCACCAAAAGCCAUUUACAGUGAGCAUGCAGAGGCAUAGAAAUACCAAAACAGCAUUAGUUUACUUCACCCACAUCCACAAACACACACAUACUUGUCUUACAAUAGUUGUGAAGAUACUCAUUGACAAUUCAUUCUCCAGCCUCUUAACUAUCACAGCAAACCCUCAUGCCUGGGACACAUUGCCUGUGUUGUGCUGAAUUGCUGCAGCUCGCGCCAUCAGAGUGUCUGCUGCAGCACUCCUACUGCCAUGUCUAUCUUUCUACACUGAGUUUGCCUUGGCUAAUGGGAUAAUGGCCAGCAGUAAUAGAUGCUUGAUUUUAUGGAAUUUGGGGGGGGGGG